UACGGAGGGUGCAAGCGUUAUCCGGAUUCACUGGGUUUAAAGGGUGCGUAGGUGGGAAAGUAAGUCAGUGGUGAAAUCUCCGUGCUUAACACGGAAACUGCCAUUGAUACUAUUUUUCUUGAAUUUUCUGGAGGUCAGCGGAAUAUGUCAUGUAGCGGUGAAAUGCUUAGAUAUGACAUAGAACACCAAUUGCGAAGGCAGCUGGCUACAGGGAUAUUGACACUGAGGCACGAAAAGCGUGGGGGAUCAAAACAGG
rnacentral:rRNA from 1 species